UCUUCGAUCCGUUAACCGCUCGUUAGGCUUUACCUGCGUUUACUAUAGGCCAUCCAGUGAUCUGGAUUCUUACCGGGUGGUUGGAGCCACUCUGUUUGACGCCUCCCUGUUAACUCCUGAGAGCCGCUUUCCGCGGCUCUUUUUUU
rnacentral:sRNA from 1 species